GUGGUGAACAUGACUGCUGUGUGAUUGCCU
rnacentral:piRNA from 1 species